GGUAAAUUCUGCCCUAUGGGUUUCUAAAUGGCUGCAGUAUUUUGACUGUGCAAAGGUAGCAUAGUAAUUAGUUUCUUAAUUAGAAGCUGGUAUGAAUGGAUUAAUGAGAUAAAUAUUUUAUUAAUUUUAUUUUUAAAAGUUAAAUUUUGAGUAAAAAUGCUUAGUUGAUUUCUAGGGACGAUAAGACCCUAUAGAACUUAAUAUAAAAUAAUAUUUAACUAAUUUUUAUUUUAAUACUAAACUAAAUAUUUUUAUAAUUUGCUGGGGUGGUGAAUAAAUUUUAACUUUAUUAUUAAAUUUCAAUAAUUAGUGUAAACUUUGAUCCUAAUGGAGUAAAAGAUUAAGUUACCUUAGGGAUAACAGCGUAAUUAAAGUGGGGAGUUCAUAUCUAUAUUUUAUUUUGCGACCUCGAUGUUGAAUUAAGGAAAGGUUGGGAAGCAGAAUUCUCGAAUCUAAGUCUGUUCGACUU
rnacentral:rRNA from 1 species